CGGAAAGGCCCUUCGGGGUACUCGAGUGGCGAACGGGUGAGUAACACGUGGGUGAUCUGCCCUGCACUUUGGGAUAAGCCUGGGAAACUGGGUCUAAUACCGAAUAGGACUCCGGACUGCAUGGUCUGGGGUGGAAAGCUUUUGCGGUGUGGGAUGGGCCCGCGGCCUAUCAGCUUGUUGGUGGGGUGAUGGCCUACCAAGGCGACGACGGGUAGCCGGCCUGAGAGGGUGACCGGCCACACUGGGACUGAGAUACGGCCCAGACUCCUACGGGAGGCAGCAGUGGGGAAUAUUGCACAAUGGGCGCAAGCCUGAUGCAGCGACGCCGCGUGAGGGAUGACGGCCUUCGGGUUGUAAACCUCUUUCGCCAGGGACGAAGCGCAAGUGACGGUACCUGGAGAAGAAGGACCGGCCAACUACGUGCCAGCAGCCGCGGUAAUACGUAGGGUCCGAGCGUUGUCCGGAAUUACUGGGCGUAAAGAGCUCGUAGGUGGUUUGUCGCGUUGUUCGUGAAAACUCACAGCUUAACUGUGGGCGUGCGGGCGAUACGGGCAGACUGGAGUACUGCAGGGGAGACUGGAAUUCCUGGUGUAGCGGUGGAAUGCGCAGAUAUCAGGAGGAACACCGGUGGCGAAGGCGGGUCUCUGGGCAGUAACUGACGCUGAGGAGCGAAAGCGUGGGGAGCGAACAGGAUUAGAUACCCUGGUAGUCCACGCCGUAAACGGUGGGUACUAGGUGUGGGUUUCCUUCCUUGGGAUCCGUGCCGUAGCUAACGCAUUAAGUACCCCGCCUGGGGAGUACGGCCGCAAGGCUAAAACUCAAAGGAAUUGACGGGGGCCCGCACAAGCGGCGGAGCAUGUGGAUUAAUUCGAUGCAACGCGAAGAACCUUACCUGGGUUUGACAUGCACAGGACGCCGGCAGAGAUGUCGGUUCCCUUGUGGCCUGUGUGCAGGUGGUGCAUGGCUGUCGUCAGCUCGUGUCGUGAGAUGUUGGGUUAAGUCCCGCAACGAGCGCAACCCUUGUCUCAUGUUGCCAGCACGUUAUGGUGGGGACUCGUGAGAGACUGCCGGGGUCAACUCGGAGGAAGGUGGGGAUGACGUCAAGUCAUCAUGCCCCUUAUGUCCAGGGCUUCACACAUGCUACAAUGGCCGGUACAAAGGGCUGCGAUGCCGUGAGGUGGAGCGAAUCCUUUCAAAGCCGGUCUCAGUUCGGAUCGGGGUCUGCAACUCGACCCCGUGAAGUCGGAGUCGCUAGUAAUCGCAGAUCAGCAACGCUGCGGUGAAUACGUUCCCGGGCCUUGUACACACCGCCCGUCACGUCAUGAAAGUCGGUAACACCCGAAGCCGGUGGCCUAACCC
rnacentral:rRNA from 1 species